rnacentral:lncRNA from 1 species
GGGUAGGCGUUCGGGUAUCCAUUCGGGUUUGGUUCAGUUCGGAUCUAUUCGAAUUUCAUGAUUAAAAAUUUCAGCCACAUUCAGGUAUUUAUAAAUUUUAAUUCGGGUUCGGUUGGAUCUUUACGGGUUCGGAUAAUCCGUUUAAAUUAUUAAAAAAAAAAUUAAAUUCAUAUAUACUUUCAGUUUCUAAAAAACUAAAAAUAAAAAUAACAUAUUACAUAUAAAUUUGAAUAAUGUACGUAUGUCAAAAUAGCUAAACUUAAUAUAUAAAUUGGUUUAGUAUGAAUAUUUGGAACAAAAAUCAAUAGAUGUUUCAAGUAUUUUGGUGCUUUGAGUAUUGUUUAACUAUUUUAGACAUUCAUUUUGGAAAAUUUUAAAAUAUCUUAUAUAUUUUGGAUACUUUUUAUAUAUUAAAUCUGAAAAUGAUUGAUAUAUUUAAGUAUAUAAAUCUGUUUCGGAUACAUUCGGAUAUUCGAAAUACUUCGGUUCGGAUCGGAUUCGGUUCUCUACAUACCAAAAUUUUGAACUCAUUCGGAUA